GACGAACGCUGGCGGCGUGCUUAACACAUGCAAGUCGAACGGAAAGGCCCUGCUUUUGUGGGGUGCUCGAGUGGCGAACGGGUGAGUAACACGUGAGUAACCUGCCCUUGACUUUGGGAUAACUUCAGGAAACUGGGGCUAAUACCGGAUAGGAGCUCCUGCUGCAUGGUGGGGGUUGGAAAGUUUCGGCGGUUGGGGAUGGACUCGCGGCUUAUCAGCUUGUUGGUGGGGUAGUGGCUUACCAAGGCUUUGACGGGUAGCCGGCCUGAGAGGGUGACCGGCCACAUUGGGACUGAGAUACGGCCCAGACUCCUACGGGAGGCAGCAGUGGGGAAUAUUGCACAAUGGGCGGAAGCCUGAUGCAGCAACGCCGCGUGCGGGAUGACGGCCUUCGGGUUGUAAACCGCUUUCGCUUGUGACGAAGCGUGAGUGACGGUAAUGGGUAAAGAAGCACCGACUAACUACGU
rnacentral:rRNA from 1 species